rnacentral:rRNA from 1 species
GAUGAACGCUGGCGGUCUGCUUAACACAUGCAAGUCGAACGGACCCUUCGGGGUUAGUGGCGGACGGGUGAGUAACACGUGGGAACCUACCUAUCGGUACGGAAUAACAGAGGGAAACGGUGGCUAAUACCGGAUGAGCCGAAAGGUAAAGAUUUAUUGCCCACAGAUGAGCUCGCGUCUGAUUAGCUAGUUGGUAAGGUAAAGCGUACCAAGGCGACGAUCAGUAGCUGGUCUGAGAGGAUGAGCAGCCACACUGGGACUGAGACACGGCCCAGACUCCUACGGGAGGCAGCAGU